rnacentral:rRNA from 1 species
UGGGGAAUCUUGGACAAUGGGGGAAACCCUGAUCCAGCGACGCCGCGUGGAUGAAGAAGGCCUUAGGGUUGUAAAGUCCUUUCACGGGGGAGGAUGAUGACGUUCCCCGGAGAAGAAGCACCGGCUAACUCCGUGCCAGCAGCCGCGGUAAGUCGGUGGGUGCUAGCGUUGUUCGGAAUCUCUGGGCGUAAAGGGCGCGUAGGCGGCUUGGUUAGUCAGAUGUGAAAGCCCAGGGCUCAACUCUGGAACUGCAUUUGAUACUCCCAAGCUUGAGGUCGAAAGAGGAGAGUGGAAUACCCAGUGUAGAGGUGAAAUUCGUAGAUAUUGGGUGGAACACCAGUGGCGAAAGCGGCUCUGUGGUUCGACUCUGACGCUGAGGCGCGAAAGCGUGGGGAGCAAACAGGAUUAGAUACCCCCGUAGUCC